rnacentral:tRNA from 1 species
GCCUGGGUGGCUCAGUCGGUUAAGCGUCUGACUUCAGCUCAGGUCAUGAUCUCGCGGUCCGUGGGUUCGAGCCCCGUGUCGGGCU